rnacentral:rRNA from 1 species
CCCUUAGAUGUUCUGGGCCGCACACGCGCUACACUGAAGGAGGCAGCGUGUACUCCUGGAUCGAAAGAUUUGGGUAACCCGCGAAUCUCCUUCGUGCUAGGGAUUGAGGUUUGCAAUUAUCCUUCAUGAACGAGGAAUUCCCAGUAAGUGCAAGUCAUAAGCUUGCGCUGACUACGUCCCUGCCCUUUGUACACACCGCCCGUCGCUCCUACCGAUUGAAUGGUCCGGUGAAGCGCUCGGACCGCGGCCUCUUGACGGUUCGCUGUCGAUUGGCUGUGGGAAGUUCGUUAAACCUUAUCAUUUAGAGGAAGGAGAAGUCGUANCA